rnacentral:rRNA from 1 species
GGGGAAUAUUGCGCACUGGGGGAAACCCUGACGCAGCAAUACCGCGUGAGUGAAGAAGGUUUUCGGAUCGUAAAGCUCUGUUAUUGGGGAAGAAAAAACGACGGUACCCAAGAAGAAACUCCCGGCUAACUACGUGCCAGCAGCCGCGGUAAUACGUAGGGGACAAGCGUUGUCCGGAUUUAUUGGGUUUAAAGGGUGCUCAGGCGGGGGGUUAAGUCGGCGGUGAAAUUUUGCAGCUCAACUGUAAAAGUGCCUUCGAAACUGGUUCCCUUGAGUGCGGAUGAGGUGGGCGGAAUUCGUGGUGUAGCGGUGAAAUGCUUAGAUAUCACGAAGAACUCCAAUUGCGAAGGCAGCUCACUGGAGUGUAACUGACGCUGAUGCUCGAAAGUGUGGGUAUCAAACA